ACUUUUAAUAACAGAUCUCUUGGUUCUAGUAUUAAUAAAGAACGCAGCGAAAUGCGAUAAGUAGUGUAAAUUAUAGAAUUUAGUAAAUUAUUAAAUCUUUAAACGCACAUUGCGCCCCUUAGUAUUCUAUAGGGUAUGCCUGUUUAAGCGUUAUUUGUACCCUUAAGCUCUGCUUGGUGUUAGGUGUUUGUUCUACUUAGGACUUGCCUUAAAACAAUUGGCAGCUAGCAUAUUAGCCUAGAGCGCAGCACAUUUUACGCCUCUUGUUAUGGUUAUUAGUAUUUAUUAAGACACUUUUUAAGCUCUUAACCUUAGAUUAGGUAGGGAUACCUGCUAAACUUAAGCAUAUUAAUAAGCGGAGGAAAAGAAACUAAUAGGGAUUGCCCUAGUAAUAGCGAGUGAAGCGGCAACAGCUUAAAUUUAAAAUCUAGCUCUUUUAGGGUCCAAGUUGUAAUUUACAGAGGGCGCUUUAGCGUUAGCAGUGGUCUAAGUUCCUUAGAACAGGACGUUAUAGAGGGUAAGAAUCCUAUAUAUAGUUGCUAGCCUUCGCCGUGUAAAGCCCCUUUAAUAAGUUAAGUUAUUUAGGAAUACAGCUCUAAAUAGGAGGUAAAUUUCUUCUAAAGCUAAAUACUAGCUAGAGACUAAUAGCGCAUAAGUAGAGUAAUUAAAAGAUAAAAAGCACUUUAGAAAGAGAGUUAAAUAGCACGUGAAAUUGUUAAAAGGGAAGCGCUUGUAGCUAGACUUGCCUAUAGUUGCUUAUCUAGGCUUUUGUCUAGUGCACUCUUCUAUAGGCAGGCUAGUAUUAGUUUAGGCGGUUAGAUAAAGGUCUCUAUUACGUACCUCCCUUUAGGGAGGCCUUAUAGGGGAGAUAACAUGCAACUAGCCUAGACUAAGGUCCGCGCAUCUGCUAGGAUGCUAGCGUAAUAGCUGUAAGCGGCCUAUCUUAAAACAUAGACUAAGGAGUCUAAUAUCUAUGCAAGUGUUUAGGUGUUAAGCCUAGACGCGUAAUAAAAGUAAACAGAGGUAGGAACCCUUUUAGGGUGCACUAUUAACCAAUCCUAAUAUCUUUAGAAGGAUUUAAGUAAGAGUAUAGCUAUUAGGACCUAAAAGAUAGUAAACUAUGCUUAAAUAGGGUAAAGCUAGAGGAAACUCUAGUAGAGGCUUGCAGUAGUUCUAACGUGCAAAUUAAUUGUUAAAUUUAGGUAUAGGGGCGAAAGACUAAUCAAACUAUCUAGUAGCUAGUUCCUACUAAAGUUUCCCUUAGGAUAGUAGUAACGUAUUUAGUUUUAUAAGGUAAAGCGAAUAAUUAGAGGCCUAGGGGUUAAAACAACCUUUACCUAUUCUUAAACUUUAAAUAUAUAAGAAGUCCUUAUUACUUAAUUAAACGUGGACACUUGAAUAUACUAUUACUAGUAGGCUAUUUUUAGUAAGUAGAACUAGCAAUACAGGAUAAACUAAACGCGGGGUUAAGGUGCUAGAAUGCACGCUUAUUAGACACUACAAAAGGUGUUAGUUUAUCUAGAUAGUAGGAUAGUAGCUAUAGAAGUUAGAAUCCGCUAAGGAGUGUGUAAUAACUUACCUGCUAAAUAAACUAGCCCUAAAAAUAGAUGGCGCUUAAGCGUGUUACCUAUACCCUGCCGCUAGGGCAAGAUUUAAGCCCUAGCAAGUAGGCAGGCGUAGAGGCUCGUGACGAAGCCUUAGGGGUAACCCUAGGUAGAACGGCCUCUAGUGCAGAUCUUAGUAGUAGUAGUAAAUACUUAAAUAAGAACUUUAAGGACUAAAGUAGGGAAAGGUUCUAUAUAAAUAGUAGUUAGACACAGGUUAGUUAAUCCUAAGAGAUAGGGUAAUUCUAUUUUAAUGUCAGCGCUUACGCCGCGCCCUUAAAAGGGAAGCUAGUUAAUAUUCUAGCACCUAGAUGUAGAUUCUCCGCGGCAACGCAACUAAGAGCGGAGACCUUAGCAGGAGCCCUAAGAAGAGUUCUCUUUUCUUCUUAAUAGUCUGUUACCCUAAAAUUAGUUUGUCUAGAGCUAGGGUUUAAUAGCUAGAAGAGCGCUGCACUUUUGCGGCGUUUGGUGCGCUCCUAAUAAGCCUUAAAAAUCUGCUUAAAGAAAUAGUUUUUACGCUAGGUUAUACUUAUAACUGCAGCAGGUCUCUAAGGUAAAAAGCCUCUAGUUAAUAGAAUAAUAUAGAUAAGGGAAGUUAGCAAAAUAGAUCUAUAACUUUAGGAAAAGGAUUAGCUCUAAGGGUUAGGUACGUUAGGCCUUAGGGAGAAGCCUCUAGCGCAGAAGGGCACUAACUGCAAGGUAGGCGCCUCUUAGCGCUAGGGUGCAGACACCCUUAGCAGGUUUUAGCUGUCUAGCGUACAUUUAACAACUAACUUAGAACUAGUAUAGAUAAGGGGAAUCUAACUGUCUAAUUAAAAUAUAGUAUUAUAAUAGCUAGAAAGUAGUAUUAACGCAAUAUAAUUUCUGCCUAGUACUCUAAAUAUUAAAGUAAAGAGAUUUAACUAAGCGCAGGUAAAUAGCAGGAGUAACUAUAACUCUCUUAAGGUAGCUAAAUGCCUUAUUAUCUAAUUAGUAACGCGUAUAAAUAGAUUAAUAAGAUUCCUACUAUCCCUAUCUACUAUCUAGCGAAACCACAGCUAAGGGAACAGGCUUGGCCAAAUUAGCAGGGAAAGAAGACCCUAUUAAGCUUAACUCUAGUUUAAUAUUAUAAAAAGAUAUAGGGGGUAUAGAAUAGGUAGGAGCUUUGGCGCUAGUGAAAUACUACUACCCUUAUUAUUUUUUUACUUAUUUAAUAAAGCGGAGCUAGGCCUUACUACCUAACUUCUAGCGUUUAAGGUCCUUCAUAGGCUAAUCUAGGUUAAAGAUAUUGUUAGGUAGGGAGUUUAGCUAGGGCAGCACAUCUAUUAAACUAUAACGCAGGUGUCCUAAGGGGGACUUAUAGAGAAUAGAAAUCUCUAGUAGAGUAAAAGGGCAAAAGUCCCCUUAAUUUUAAUUUUUAGUGUGAAUACAAACUAUAAAAGUGUGGCCUAUUAAUCCUUUAGUCCCUUGAAAUUUAAGGCUAGAGGUGCUAGAAAAGUUACCACAGGGAUAACUAGCUUGUGGCAGCUAAGCGUUUAUAGCGACGUUGCUUUUUAAUCCUUUAAUGUUAGCUCUUCCUAUUAUACUAAAGCAGAAUUUAGUAAGCGUUAGAUUGUUUACCUACUAAUAGGGAACGUGAGCUAGGUUUAGACUGUUGUAAGACAGGUUAGUUUUACCCUACUAAUAACCUUGCCCUAAUAGUAAUACCGCUUAGUACAAGAGGAACCGCGGUUUUAGAUAAUUAGUUUUUGCAGCUAUCUAACUAGGUAUUGCCGCAAAGCUACUAUCUACUAGAUUAUGGCUAAACGCCUCUAAGUUAGAAUCUAUGCUAGAACAGGGUGAUUUCCGCCUGCACUAGUUAGAUACAAAUAGGCCUUUAGCCUAGAACCUUACUAGAUUAGCGUUAGCAGCCCUAUUAAAGUUAGGGUUGUUAGCUAGUGUAUUGUAAUUGUACAGUGCGCAGGAUUAAAUCCUUUAUAGAUAACUUAGUUGUCUAGCUAGGUCGUGUAAGUAGUUAAGUAGCCUUGUUGUUACAAGCUACUAAGCGUAAGCCUGUUGCUAGCUUGGUUAAAAUUAGGAUAUUAUGCCCUCCUUAUUUGCAAAACUGCUGCCUAAAUAGCUGCUAUUAAUAGAAGGAAGAGGGCCAUAGCAAAUAAGUUAUAUAGUAAUUGCAAGAUAGAGAGGGCUAGAGCUAGGAGUAAUCCUCGCAAAAUAUACAAAAGAACAGGUUAUGUGUGUACGUACCUUAGGCAGUUAAUAUAUAGCAUAGGAAGAUUAAGAAAGGAUUUAAGAUAAUCUAUAUAGAUUUUUAGGUAGUGAUCUAUAACUUUUUAUUUUUUAGGGGUAGUGUUCUAUAACUCUAGGGCGUUCUAUAACUUUAGGGCGUUCUAUAACUUUUUAUUUUUUAGGGGUAGUGUUCUAUAACUUUAGGGCUUUCUAUAACUUUAGGGCGUUCUAUAACUUUAGGGCGUUCUACAACUUUUUAUUUUUUAGGGGUAGUGUUCUAUAACUUUAGGGCGUUCUAUAACUUUAGGGCGUUCUAUAACUUUAGGGCGUUCUAUAACUUUUUAUUUUUUAGGGGUAGUGUUCUAUAACUUUAGGGCGUUCUAUAACUUUUUCUUUUUUAGAGGUAGUGUUCUAUAACUUUAGGGCGUUCUAUAACUUUUUAUUUUUUAGGGGUAGUGUUCUAUAACUCUAGGGCGUUCUAUAACUUUUUAUUUUUUAGGGUUAGUAUUCUAUAAUAUUAGAGUGUUCUAUAACUUUUUCUUUUUUAGAGGUAGUGUUCUAUAAUAUUAGAGUGUUCUAUAACUUUUUAUUUUUUAGGGUUAGUAUUCUAUAAUAUUAGAGUGUUCUAUAACUUUUUCUUUUUU
rnacentral:rRNA from 1 species